CCUACGGGCGGCUGCAGUGGGGAAUAUUGGACAAUGGGCGAAAGCCUGAUCCAGCCAUGCCGCGUGUGUGAAGAAGGCCUUCGGGUUGUAAAGCACUUUCAGUGGGGAAGAAAGCCUUGGGGCUAAUACCCUCGAGGAAGGACAUCACCCACAGAAGAAGCACCGGCUAACUCCGUGCCAGCAGCCGCGGUAAUACGGAGGGUGCGAGCGUUAAUCGGAAUUACUGGGCGUAAAGCGCGCGUAGGCGGUCUGAUAAGCCGGUUGUGAAAGCCCCGGGCUCAACCUGGGAACGGCAUCCGGAACUGUCAGGCUAGAGUGCAGGAGAGGAAGGUAGAAUUCCCGGUGUAGCGGUGACAUGCGUAGAGAUCGGGAGGAAUACCAGUGGCGAAGGCGGCCUUCUGGACUGACACUGACGCUGAGGUGCGAAAGCGUGGGUAGCAAACAGGAUUAGAUACCCCUGUAGUC
rnacentral:rRNA from 1 species